AAACAGGAUUGUUCGAAAGAGGUUCGAGGCGGAUCAGCGCGGACGAGUUUGAUAGCGUUUGUACAGUGUCGCUCUUGUAACUACGGUCCUGGAAAAUAUCAAUCGCCACCAGUUAUUUUACAAGGUCUCAGCUGUUAUUUAUUUAUUUCUUUAGGAUUGAAAACGUAUGCUCAGAAUCGUUUUCUCGUAAUCAAUGGUUUAUCGUUGCUUAUAGGUAUGUGUUAAGUUAUCAAUAGCAGUGGCCG